ACAAGGAUAUAACGCAUUUUCAGUCGAUGAAUUUAACUUGGCUCCUCAACUAUCUAGAUACCGGUUACAAAGAAUCUCGAAAAGAGUCCUUGACUAGAUAUUACCAUGCGUGGAAGCAUGACAGUAAUACAAGGCAUUUUCAGUCGAUCCAUCAAUUGGCUCCUCGACUAGAUAUGGGUUACAAAGAAUUCUCGAAAGCUCUCUCGAUCACUCUAAUAAUGAUAGAAGGGGGCACAUAGCUGAUAGCUGGGCCCCUGUUCAUGCCCUCGCCCAAGUUUGCAGCCAACCACCCAUCCCAACGUGCCAUCAUGGACAAGGACAGGAGGGAGAGAGAGAUGGGUGAACGCAACAAGCCAACAUGGCAGGCAAAUUGUCCGCAGACGCCGCCAGAAAAUUUGAGAAAAUUUCAACAUGUGGUGUGCAGCUGUGCAGGAGCCGCGGCGGCGUCGAGGAUAAGGAGAGGGCAACGCAUCGGAUGGAUCAUCAUGGCUGGACCUGUGUGGCUGUACGUAUCUGUCCAUGCUAUACUCCUCUCCUGUGAGCAGUGAGCUAGUGCCCUUUUCCUGUGGAUGAAGAUCAACUGAACCUACAUCAGCUAGCUGUCUUCGCAGACAUAUCAACCUUCCAUGAAUUAUUUCCUUUUGCAGCUCUCCUGUAGCAGCACGGAUGGGGGUUUAAUUGGAGCUGUUUGUUUUCUGCGUUUCGGCCAGGAUGGUAAUAGCGACGUGCGUGGUCUUGGAUGCAAAUAUUUGCAGCUUGGAACUUUCUUUCUGGAUGUUGCUAUCGCGUGCUUGGUCCAAAGCUAGCAUUCGCCGUCAGGAUGAGCGAGCGGUGCAUGUUUUUUUUUAAAUACAUGCCAAGCAGGUGUAUCGUAUGUUGAAGAAAAAUGCCACGAUACAGUUAAAUGCCCGUAGCCGAAAAUAAAGCGACUAAUCUAUUACACUCCACACAGGAUCCACUAGACUAGUAAGAGAAAAAAAAAUCUACGAUAUGAAAUAGACCUGCGCUUGACCACGCCAUGCCUUCCCGAGUGAUCAUCUGUUGAAUGUUUAGCACGUUCGGCGUCGCCGCACCAAAAACCACCGAGUUCCUGUGUUUCAGUCACCAACAAAUGAGAGUGAUGCUAGUGUUAAGAUUCCUCCUCUCUUUUUUUCCUUGCACCCAGAAGUUCGAACACCAGCCGGUGAGAGAGUCAUGCAGGGAUGGUAGCCAGCAAAAUUAGUUCCAGCUCCUCAGCAAGAACGACCACACCUCCCUGGCCACGACGCAACCAAGCAAAAGAUGGUCGAUGGUCUCUUGCUCCGGUCGCACAAAGGCCAUCGAUUUGCUAGGAACGAAAGAUUUCAUGGUUUUUCUUUUUCUUUAGGGGUGACGUACCAGAACUAGCUAGAACUAGAAGAUGGAGGUCGGCUUGCACUCACGCCACAUGAUUACUUCUUCAGCUGAAGAAACAAAAGAUACAAAAACCAAAGCCCAUCGAACGAGCUGCUGAAUAAAAGAUUUGACAAGAUGAAAGAUCGAUGGGAGAAAGCUCGCAAUUCAAUCAUUACCGGAUGUCUAAACCUAAACCAGGAACUUUGAAUCACCAGAUAGCAAUUCAAAGGUUCGACAAUGGCGACUGCACCUUUGGGACACUGGUCUUUAUGGACACGUGCACGAGGAGUUUCCAGCUGUCAUCGACAAGAUCAGACCGACUCUGGUACAGGAGCGGCAACAACGGCACGUCAUCGGCUCAUUCUGACAACGGUGGUGGUUGUUCAAUAAUUCAAGAUCUUGAUGUAAAUUUUAUUAUGUACUAUAUACUCCCUCCGUCCGCAAAUAAGUGUA